rnacentral:misc_RNA from 1 species
GAUGAAGAACGUAGUGAAACGCGAUAAGUAAUGUGAAUUGCAGAAUCCAGUGAAUCAUCGAAUCUUUGAACGCACAUUGCGCCCGCCAGUAUUCUGGCGGGCAUGCCUGUUCGAGCGUCAUUUCAACCCUCGACCUCCCCUUGGGGAGGUCGGCGUUGGGGACCGGCAGCACACCGCCGGCCCUGAAAUGGAGUGGCGGCCCGUCCGCGGCGACCUCUGCGCAGUAAUACAGCUCGCACCGGGACCCCGACGCGGCCACGCCGUAAAACACCCAACUUCUGAACGUUGACCUCGAAUCAGGUAGGACUACCCGCUGAACUUAAGCAUAUCAAUAAGCGGAGGA